rnacentral:lncRNA from 1 species
ACUGAAUCUCUUCUCAGGCAGGCCGCGGAGGUCUCGGAAAGAGAAAUGGCUCAGCCCACUGGGAGUUCUUUCCUUGGACCUCCGGCACCGUCAGCCCCACAUUUCCAGCAAUCCCGUCAGGCCGAGCAGGGGACGCAGUGAUUCUCCUGUGGCUGUCUUCUUCUCCUUGGGAAAGCCCCACACCAUUUACUGCAGUUCACCCACUUGCCGCUGAGAUAUUAAUGUACUUCAGGGGUCAGUGGAGCUCAACUACCAAAGCUGUUAAUAGGCCAAAGCAAUUCCAAUUUCAUGCCUACAUGGGCUUUCCUCCAUUAAGGGAAGAAGAGAGAAGAAAUCACAUUUUAUUUCUUUUGUGAAGUAGGCUGGCUUCUGGAGGCCGCAGCAGUCCUGUCACCGGGCAGCAGAGGGGGCCCACAGCUCGCAGAAGGAGCCCCAACCUGAUGCUGGGGAAGGAGGAAGUAGGAGGCACGGGGAGGGUUGCCCUGUGGAGUUGUCACAGAAUCCUAGAGCCUCUAAGUUGGCAAGGUCCUUGAAGGACAUCCUCAUUCAGAGGACCUGAAUUUAAGUGUCAGCUCCGCUCUUUACCAGGGUGAACAUAAAUAUGUCACUUUAUUUCUUUAAGCCUUCAUUUUCCAUCUGUAAAAUGGGUUUAGGUGAUUUUUAUGGUCUUUUCCAAUUCUAAAUCUCAAUCAAGCAGCAACAUGGUAUAAAAAGAAAAACUUGACUUCCAGUCCUGCUUCUGAUUUCCUACUGGCUAAGUGACAUUGGGCAACUAAUUUACCCUCACGGUGGCCCAAGCAACUUUCUAGGACAAUAUGUUGCAGUGCAGUCCAUCUGAGAAAGUCCCCUCUCUGGGGAAGUAUAAUGACAAUUAAAAUCACAAAGCCAACUCAAUACAUAUUGGGUCUGAUACAUCCUGUGGGAACAGGGUUGAGUCACAGUGUGAAAUUGUAGUCCAUUGACUUUAGACCCAGAGUUCAAAUCCUAUCUCUGAUGCUUAAAAAUUUGGGUGAAUUUGGGCAAGAUAUGUUAAAAUAUGGGUAAGGUAUUGGAUUACUUGCUAUCUAGGGAAGCAAGGAGGGAGAAAAAUUUGGAACACAAGGUUUUGCAAAGGUGAAUGUUGAAAACUAUCUUUGCAUCUAUUUUGAAGAUAAAAAGCUAUUAUUAUAAAAAAAUAAAAAAGAAUUUGGGCAAGA